UUGAACAUGUGAUCAGCUUCAAUAAAUAGACUCGAAUUGGACUGUUUAGUAUCAUAUGGAUUUAGCUUUAAAACUAGACCGAAUUAAAAUAAAAAAAUAAAUAUAUAAGGAAGUGCCUGUUUUGCUAUAAAGUAUGAACAAUUGGUCUUAAUAAAUAUACUACAAAUGGACUAUUUGAUAUUAUGUCAGACACCAUCAGAUCUUUUUAUUUUGUCUUGUAAGUAACUGGUUACUGAUCCCUUUUAAUGCGAGGUCCCUUAGUGCAUGCACGUGAAAGUAUUGACAGGUUGGCAGUUGUUGGAUCACUUGGAUGCAAAGCCUCUUUGCUAUCAGUUUCAUAUGGGGGAUAGAGUUUGUUUGUUGGCAGUCUUUUUGUAAUGAUGGUCCAGAAAAUGGAUGAUGGGGAACACGGGUACUGCUUGAAAACAAAUGUGCAGGCCUCUUGUACUCAUUGAAGCUGUAUGAAAAAUUGGUGACGUGAUGCUUGUGACCUCAACAGUCGUGGCACAUGCAGUUUAAGGCAGUUCUAGCAAUGCUCUUUCAGCAAAACACGUUCUUGCAUGGUUGGAUUUUUACCUUAACUACUAAAAUCCAACUCUGCUGGUCUUCUGGUUGAAGAUUCUGCUGCUUUUCUAGUGCUGAGAUAAGGAUGGCUUAAAGAAAACAGCUCUGAUGAUCCGGGUGUGCUUAUAAUGCAAGUUAGUGUUUUUGUCCUUACCUUGAUUCUCUUUUUUCAGAUGACGUUGAAAUUCAAUUUAGACUUUUUUUUUUUUCCUGUUUUUGUUUAAUACUUUGACUAGAUUAAUCUAUUUUCUCUAUGGUUCUGAGGGCUUGGUGGUUGAAGCUUUUUGCACUUGAAUUGCACAUAGGCAAUGAGACAUAAUCCAGCCAAUUAUUGCUCAACUGUUUGGUCAAGGUGAAACUGGAUUCUACAGUGAUAAUAAUAUUCUUCCACUUCAAAGUAGUCCAGGAGAUUAUGCAAACAGAGCCAUUGGCAGGAGCAAGAUUCAGCUUCAGGAAGAAUAUCCCUGAUGGAAAAUCGAUCUGAAAUACUGUUUUCCGUGCAUCAUUCUUCCCUUUCUCUCUGGAUUAAUUCUAUACAUGUGUGUAUAAUAUUGUGUUGUAACAGUUUUUAAAUUGGCCAAUAGGUUGCUUGAUGCAUCUUUAAAUGCCUCUGGGUCUCUUGAUUUUUCGCUAAAGAUGACACUGAAUAACUCUGUUAUUAUUAUAAUAUUUCUUUACAUACCGUAACUAGCAUACUUCUCAUUUGGAUUUCCCUUUUACAUCUCAAAGAGUUACUUAUGAUAUAUAUAUUUUUUCAAUCUUGAGGUUUCUAUCACAUGCAUGACUAAACUAUGCGAUGAGAAGUGUGUUGGCACUAGUGUGUUAAACUUGGACAAAGCGACUGUCAAGAUAUCUUCAUGAUGCAGUCGACAAUCAUCAGGUACGCUCACAAUAUAUAUCUAUUUGUUAUUUUUACAAGAUUUGAAUGAUUAUUUAAUCAUUCAACACGACUUUAUUAAGAUAUUAUUAGUUAUUGAAGAUAAUUUUUGAAAUCUUGUUAACAUGAUUGAUAAU